UACAGAGGUCUCAAGCGUUGUUCGGAUUCAUUGGGCGUAAAGGGUGCGUAGGUGGCGCCGUAAGUCGGGUGUGAAAUUUCGGAGCUUAACUCCGAAACUGCAUUCGAUACUGCGGUGCUUUGAGGACUGGAGAGGAGACUGGAAUUCAUGGUGUAGCAGUGAAAUGCGUAGAGAUCAUGAGGAACACCAAUGGCGAAGGCAGCUCGCUGGGACGGUACUGACGCUGAGGCGCGAAAGCGUGGGGAGCAAACAGG
rnacentral:rRNA from 1 species